GUUUCGAAGGCCGCCGAGUCAAUAGUCUAUCGAGUCAACGGAGCACCCUACAACUCUAUCGAAAUCUCGAAUGGCCUUUGGGCAACGGAAGUGGAAACAGCGCGAACAUGCCCUCUCGUUCACAGUGUGCUCGUACUCAUUGUUAGAAAGAACAAAUCAAACCAAAAUGCUCUAAAAUACUAUAUAUGAGUGUUAUUAAUUAUUCAAUAAAGUAUUUUCGCCACUUAAUAUGUGCGAACUGCACAUGCUCUCGACAACAGCGAUGUGCUUGUGUUCAUUCCUUUUUUUCCAAAUUUU
rnacentral:lncRNA from 1 species